rnacentral:siRNA from 1 species
UCUGGAGAAGCGUCCUCAGCGACGGA